UUUGAGCAACCAGUGCUGCACUCAUUCAUAAACACAGAUGACUGCUGCUACAGGGAUGCAGAACUAAAGAUUGUUCUUGAAGAUUCUCACCGGUUCUUGGC